AUGAUUGAGAGAGCCCACAAGAGACAAGCCUCCCAGAUCACCUGGCUCAAGACGGGGGACGCCCAUACUGCUUUCUUUCAAGCCAAGAUCAACUCGCGCAUGCGGAAGAACUUCAUUCACUCCCUAGAGACUGACAAUGAUGUUGUUACUGCACAUAUGAAGAAGGCCUCUGUUGCACACAUGCAUUUCUCCAACUUGCUGGGAAGAAAAGAGGAUAGAAAGUGCUCGAUAAACUGGGAGGAGCCGCACACGCCCACAACCCAAAAUGAGGGGCUCGACAACCCAUUCACUGAAGCUAAAGUUUGGGCUGCAAUCUUUGCAUCGCCGGCGGACUGGGCACCUGGCCCUAAUGGGUUCUCAGGCAUGUGUUUUCAGAAGCUGCUGGGGCAUGAUAAGGCCUUGUUCAGUCAUCUCUACAGGCUCGCCGGUGGAAACUUUGCUCACCUGAACAUGGCUAUGAUUGCCUUGCUCCCAAAGAAAGAUGGUGUUGUCAAAACAAGUGAUUUCAGGCCAAUUAGCUUCAUCCACUCUAUUGCAAAGCUGUUCUCAAGAGUCCUGUCCAUUCGGCUAGCUAAUGCCAUUGACAAGCUGAUCAACCCAGCACAAACAACAUUUUAG
rnacentral:rRNA from 1 species